rnacentral:lncRNA from 1 species
UGGGGUCACACAUUAAGAGAUUUAAUCUUGAAUUAACCAAUUGGGCUUAUGAAAUUCUAAUUGUGUUAGAAUUUAUUGAAAUCUUAUUAGGUUUAAGAGAACCAUGCUAGCACAUGGUUAAACCUAAUUCUUCUUAGGACUUUGAUUGGAUCAAAUCCAUUGCAUUGAACCUAACCUAAAUCUAUUAGGGUUUAGUUGGA